AUUGAACGCUGGCGGCAGGCCUAACGCAUGCAAGUCGAGCGGAUGAAGGGAGCUUGCUCCUGGAUUCAGCGGCGGACGGGUGAGUAAUGCCUAGGAAUCUGCCUGGUAGUGGGGGAUAACGUCCGGAAACGGGCGCUAAUACCGCAUACGUCCUGAGGGAGAAAGUGGGGGAUCUUCGGACCUCACGCUAUCAGAUGAGCCUAGGUCGGAUUAGCUAGUUGGUGGGGUAAAGGCCUACCAAGGCGACGAUCCGUAACUGGUCUGAGAGGAUGAUCAGUCACACUGGAACUGAGACACGGUCCAGACUCCUACGGGAGGCAGCAGUGGGGAAUAUUGGACAAUGGGCGAAAGCCUGAUCCAGCCAUGCCGCGUGUGUGAAGAAGGUCUUCGGAUUGUAAAGCACUUUAAGUUGGGAGGAAGGGCAGUAAGUUAAUACCUUGCUGCUUUGACGUUACCAACAGAAUAAGCACCGGCUAACUUCGUG
rnacentral:rRNA from 1 species